rnacentral:rRNA from 1 species
GACAGAGGGUGCAAACGUUGUUCGGAAUUACUGGGCGUAAAGCGCGUGUAGGCGGCUCGGAAAGUCGGAUGUGAAAGCCCUGGGCUUAACCUAGGAAGUGCAUUCGAAACUCCCGAGCUUGAGUUCUGGAGAGGAAGGCGGAAUUCUCGGUGUAGAGGUGAAAUUCGUAGAUAUCGAGAGGAACACCGGUGGCGAAGGCGGCCCACUGGAUCGGCACUGACGCUGAGGUGCGAAAGCGUGGGGAGCAAACAGG